rnacentral:rRNA from 1 species
UACGUAGGUCCCGAACGUUGUCCGGAUUUAUUGGGCGUAAAGCGAGCGCAGGUGGUUUAUUAAGUCUGGUGUAAAAGGCAGUGACUCAACCAUUGUAUGCAUUGGAAACUGGUAGACUUGAGUGCAGGAGAGGAGAGUGGAAUUCCAUGUGUAGCGGUGAAAUGCGUAGAUAUAUGGAGGAACACCGGUGGCGAAAGCGGCUCUCUGGCCUGUAACUGACACUGAGGCUCGAAAGCGUGGGGAGCAAACAGG